rnacentral:rRNA from 1 species
CCUACGGGAGGCAGCAGUGAGGAAUAUUGGUCAAUGGGCGAGAGCCUGAACCAGCCAAGUCGCGUGAAGGAUGACGGCCCUACGGGUUGUAAACUUCUUUUGUCAGGGAGCAAUUCGCUCCACGCGUGGCCUUAGCGAGAGUACCUGAAGAAAAAGCACCGGCUAACCCCGUGCCAGCAGCCGCGGUAAUACGGAGGUUGCGAGCGUUAUCCGGAUUUAUUGGGUUUAAAGGGUGCGUAGGCGGAAUAUCAAGUCAGCGGUAAAAAUUCGGGGCUCAACCCCGUCGUGCCGUUGAAACUGUUGUUCUUGAGUGGGCGAGAAGUAUGCGGAAUGCGUGGUGUAGCGGUGAAAUGCAUAGAUAUCACGCAGAACUCCGAUUGCGAAGGCAGCAUACCGGCGCCCGACUGACGCUGAAGCACGAAAGCGUGGGGAUCGAACAGGAUUAGAUACCCGAGUAGUC